ACAGAGAAAAAUAUUUUUAAUUAUAAGAUAAAUAUAUGCAGAAAUCUAACAGUUUUAAAUUCUAUGAAAAUGCAUGACUUUUUUUUAAAAAAUAUAAUUUUAAAGUUGCUAUUCAAGAAGUAUGGUUGCCUAUAUAGGACAAAACCACAGAAGUUUUCAAAUUUUUCAGAGGAUUACCUUUUAUCUUAUAAACAGUGUUAUGGGGGUUUUCUCUACCCCAUCGAGGAAGGGACAGCUUCUACAGCACUAAUUUAUAUCAUAAAAACAAUAGAGAGAUUCUCCCUUCUGAAGCUAAGAAAGAAUAUAAAAAUAUGAGAUUACAAUCUAGUCUUUUUCAUGAAUAUAGGUGUAAUAACCCCAUUUAAAAUGUAGGAGUUGGAUUUAACAUUAUUAUACUUUAAAAUGGGGGCAAGUCCACCAUGACUGCAGACUGUAUCUUAUGCAGAAAGAGCCCGGUGUUAGGAAAUCUUUUAAUAAUAAUAAUAACAAUUUGUGAUAUUAGGAAUUGUAUAUUAUGGUUAUAGACAACAAAAUAAACUAUAUGACAAAUCUCCAGAUGUCUAGAAUGUUUAAUGUAAUUCAACAUGGAAUUCCAAAACUGUUUGGUAAAAUUGAACC
rnacentral:lncRNA from 1 species